UGGGUACCAGAGCCUCCUCCUGACACACGUACAUCUCAUUAGGAGACGGGGAACCUCAGCGACAUCCUAGACCUCAGAGGAGACAGCUGUGAGAUUCCCAGAAAGCGGGAGGCUGGGAGGCUGGGAAGGUGUAGGGAGGCCGAGACCACUCACACAAGCUCCCAUCCAUCCACACGUGUGCUUGCCAGAUGACGCAGAGCCCCAGGGUGCUGGGCUGGGAGAGGAGACCCAGACAAGUAGCUCCCCAUCCACUGUCCCUCCCUGCCCAUCCCAGUCUCUACCCUUCCACCAGGGACCUUGUAGUGUCUGGAAGUCAGAAUUCCAAUAGAAAAUGGGGGUGUACUCAUUGAGGGCAGCUUGAGGUUCCUAUGGGGUCUUGACCUCCAUUCUAGAAUGUGCCCAAGUGUCUUAAGGGCUUAGAGAUCCUCAGACUAAAUCAGAGUGGCGCCAGACGAGAAGGAGAGUAACUGGAUCUGGAAAGCACCGAAGAGCUCCUGCGCCAAGACCUCCAGGGAAGGGGAAGCCUGGAACCCCCCACUCUCCCAGCCGCACCUCCACAGACCUGGCUUCUUUCCAGCUUCCCUCUGCUGCUCCCAGUUCUGCACCCUGGAGCCAAGCACAAAAUCCCUCUUCCCUCGGAGAGCUGGUUGGAUUAAAUUGGGCAUAUUCCAAGAGACUGGCCUGGCUGGCUCUCAAUUCACUGAAUCACGCAGCUGCCCCCUGACCAAACUCUUUUGAGUGAUUAUGGAUCUCAUUUGAGAGGUCAUCUGGAGUUUGAUAUGAUCUGCCUCAAAUCACUGGCACACAGGACUAUCCGGAAGACAUCCCACUGCUUCCAGCCUCAAGAGGGAAGAUGUGUCAUUACAGAUUUCCUGGAGGGAGAGAAAAGCUCUAAGAAGAAGCCAAUGUGCUGAGGGACCAGCUCUUCAAUCCUCAUGAUAUGCGUGGAACUGUGGCUAUGAGAACUGAUGAAUGGGAGGGUUUGGGAGAAACCUGGAAGACUUGUGUGAACUGAUACAAAGUGACGUGAGCAGAACCAGGGGAACAACUUAUACACUGACAGAAAUGUUUUAAAGAUAAGCAACUUUGAAAGUCUUAAGCAAUCCAAUCAAUUUAAAGAUCCACCAAGACUCCAGAUGCAUGAUGAAACAUGCUACCUGCCUCCUGGCAGAGAGGGGAUGGACUCAGGAUGCAGAUGAAGACAUAGAUUUGGAUCUGGUCAAUAAGAUGAUUUAUUUUUCUCAGCAAUAAAUAUUUGUGACAUAUUUGUUUUUCUCUCUUUUAUCCUGGGGGCAGGAGAAGGAAGAGAACAUGGAUUUCCAUUCAUGAAAAAAUUUUUUUUAUUUUUAAAAAGAAAAACCAAAGGAACUGGGGAGAGACAGAGAAACAGUGGCAGGGACACAGAGAGAGGAAGCGACAGAGAGGAAGAAAGAGAGAAGGAAAAAAUGAGAGGAAGAGAAACAAAGGGAGGGGGACAGAGGAGGGGAAGAGAGAGAGGCAGAAAAAGAGUGACAGAGUCACAGGGAGAGCAGAAA